rnacentral:rRNA from 1 species
AUGGGAGGACCUCCCGCGGCGCCGCGGCAGGAGGAGGACGCUGUGGUGGUGACGGAGCUGGAGGUGCGCGUGCAGCUGCUGGCCUCCGGCGGCGGCGCGUACAACAUCAACGACAACGCCGACAUCCUCUCGGAGAUCCUGGCGCGCCUCGACGGCCGCUCGCUCGCCUCCGCGGCCAGCGUCUGCCGCCUCUGGGCCGCCGUGUCGCGCCGGGACGCCGUCUGGGAGGCGCUCUGCCUCCGCCACGUGGGCCCGGCGUCCGGCCCCGCGGCGGGCCACGCCACCCGCACCGUCGUGGCCGCGCUCGGCGGGUACCGCCGGCUCUACCGCCUCUGCCUCGGCCCGGCGCUGGACCGGCUGGGACGCGCGGGAGCCCUUGCACACGCGCAGGCCCGGGCGCGACUGUCGCUCUCCCUCUCGCUGUCGCUCUUCUCCAUCGACUGCUACGAGCGGCUAGGAGGCGGGGGAGGGGGCUCUGCCGGCGCCGGCAGGCAGCAGCCGCCGUCGUCGCUGCUCUUCCUCUGCAAGCCGGUGGACGUGUCCUGA